rnacentral:rRNA from 2 species
AAGUCGACGGUAACAUUGAUGCUUGCAUCAGAUGACGAGUGGCGCACGGGGUGAGUAACGCGUAUACAAUCUACCUUUUACAGGGGGAUAGCCUUUAGAAAUGAAGAUUAAUAUCCCAUAGUAAGUAGUUUUGGCAUCAAGACAACUUUAAAGUUUCGGCGGUAAAAGAUGAGUAUGCGUUCUAUUAGUUAGUUGGUAAGGUAACGGCUUACCAAGACCACGAUAGAUAGGGGCCCUGAGAGGGGGAUCCCCCACACUGGUACUGAGACACGGACCAGACUCCUACGGGAGGCAGCAGUGAGGAAUAUUGGACAAUGGGCGCGAGCCUGAUCCAGCCAUGCCGCGUGCAGGAAGACUGCCCUAUGGGUUGUAAACUGCUUUUAUACAGGAAGAAACCUUUUCACGUGUGAAAAGCUGACGGUACUGUAAGAAUAAGGAUCGGCUAACUCCGUGCCAGCAGCCGCGGUAAUACGGAGGAUCCAAGCGUUAUCCGGAAUCAUUGGGUUUAAAGGGUCCGUAGGUGGAUAAUUAAGUCAGGGGUGAAAGUUUGCAGCUCAACUGUAAAAUUGCCUUUGAUACUGGUUAUCUUGAAUUAUUGUGAAGUGGUUAGAAUAUGUAGUGUAGCGGUGAAAUGCAUAGAUAUUACAUAGAAUACCAAUUGCGAAGGCAGAUCACUAACAAUAUAUUGACACUGAUGGACGAAAGCGUGGGGAGCGAACAGGAUUAGAUACCCUGGUAGUCCACGCCGUAAACGAUGGAUACUAGCUGUUCGGUUUUCGGACUGAGUGGCUAAGCGAAAGUGAUAAGUAUCCCACCUGGGGGAGUACGUUCGCAAGAAUGAGACUCAAAGGAAUUGACGGGGGGCCCGCACAAGCGGUGG